ensembl:lncRNA
UGACGGAAUCUCUAGGGUUGGAACCCAAGAAAUGACAGGUUCAAAAUUCUCCCCAGGUGAUUCUGAAGGCAGCCGGUCUAUGGGCCCACAAUUGGGAGCCCCUGGAGCAGCACAGCUGUAUCUUAUUGAGAAGGGAGCACAGACUCAGUAAAAGCCUUGCGUUGUUAGUCCUGCACUGCUUACAAGAGAUGCGACUCCAGCUCCAGAUCAUCAAAGAGCCCACAUAUCACAGUAUUAGAGUGAUUGGGUGAUGUGUAUCUCGCCGCCCGGUCCGACAGACCCAGACGCCCAGAGGACAGAUCUGCUCUCUCACCUUUGCGGGUCCUGAUACACCUAUGAUACCGCUUUGCCCACAAGGGAGGUUUCCAAGAUCAAAUAAGUUCCUGUGGUCAAGUGCUUGGCACUGUGCCUGGCCCUCAUCUGCUGUGGAAAGUGACGCACACCAUCAUCAGGGCCAGGUGACGGGGAAGCUCCCGGACAAGAUAGGAAACCUGAGGUUCAGAGCGCUUCCUGAAAAGGCCAGCCUCCAGCAACAUCUGUCCCAGGGGCCAGGCAGGUGGAGAUGCCGGCAGUGGACACCAGCAGAGAAGUAAACCAGAUGUGCCAAGAAGUAUAUAGGACUGGAAGGAGGGAUGACUUCCCCAGCACCAGAAUGCAGCCAACCAGGAGAAAGGACUUCUCCACCCCUGGCAGCCGCCAAGGAACUGGGAGGCCAGAGGCAAGAACACUAUGUUCAGUUACAAGAUAUAUUCCACUCUGUAGCCAUUUGUAUUAGUGUUCUAUUGCUGCCAUAACAAAUUACCAUAACUGUAGCAACUUAAAACACAAAGAUACUGCGUUUUAGUUCUGAGAGUCAGAAGUCCCAUGAGACCCACUGGACUGAAACCACCGCCUCAGCAGAGCUGUGUUCCUUUGAGUAGGCUCAGGGGAGAAUCCAUUCCUUUGCGCAUUCAGGAGUUAGCAGUGCCCAGGGGUUGUAGGACUGAGAUCGCUGUUUCCUUGCUAGCUCUCAACUGGAAAAUGCUGUCUCCUUCACUCUCUCUGGUCCUUACAUGUAGCUCUUUAUAUCUCAGAACCAGCAACAGUUGCAUGGAACUCUGCUCACACUGCCUCUCUUCUUCCAUAGUCACGUUUCUCCCUCUGACCGCGCCUGGGGAAGGCUGGCUGCUUUGAAGGACUCAGGUGAUUAGAAUAGGCCCACCUGAAUAAUCCAGGCUAGCCUCUCCGUCUCAAGGGCCAUAACAUCGACACACCUGCAAAACCCCUUUCACCACAUAAGGUUAACAUAUUCACAGGUCCUUGGGACUAUGAUGAGAACUUUGGGGGGUUGUUAUUCUGUCUUCCACACCAUUAUAUAUUCAACAAGUAUUUAUGUAGUGCCUUAAUGGGCCAGGGACAAUGCUAGGUGCAGACUUAAGAUGUCAGCAUCGGGGGCGUUAGUCUGGGCAGAGAAUCUGGGAGUGGGGUGCGCACCCCUGGACACCUGUCUUCCUGCUCCUUUGCAGUACUCCAGGGGGCACCAUCUAUGUCAAACACAAUGUGGAUUGUACCCC